rnacentral:lncRNA from 1 species
UUUGAUAGUUGAAGGACAAGAAGAGAUGGAGGUUAGAAAGGUCUUGUGCUUUGAAUGGAGAGGAGAAAGGAGCUACUCACGCAACUUGGAGUUGGAUGAUUCUUCUGUGAUCUCCACGUGGGAGAAGAGCAAUCACCUUACUUUGGUAACAACAUUGGGUGAAGCUAUCUUUUACAUGUAAGUGAUUCCGAUUUUAACUGUAAAACUGGUGGAACUAAACUAAACCAUAAAACAUGGUUUGAUUCGAUUUUGGAGUUUAGUUUUUUUUUGUUUUUUAUAGGUAUUUUUGCACUGCAGACAAUUAUGUCCGAGCCGGGAACAUCCAUAAGUAUGUGAUGUUAAUUCUCCCAUUAUGCAUUUUUUCAACCACAAGACUCAAACCUGAGACUUUGCUUAAGGGGAAUCAAACAUAUAUCACUUGAACCAACACGUGUUGGUUUUGAAGUUUAGUUUAAUUCUUCUUUAGAUAUUUUUUUGAGAUUCAACCAUGGGAGUAUAGAUGGGGAAAAGGAUAAAGCUAGUAGGCCCGCCGGCAUAGUAUGCAAAAUUUUAUAGACAGAAUAUAGAAAUUUUGUCCAUUAAUUCUUACAUGUUUGCUUCUGUUUGUGGACAUUUUUAUUGGGUAAUGUGGACAAUUUGUGGGCGUGAUAUAAGAGAGA